AACGUAGGAGGCGAGCGUUAUCCGGAUUCACUGGGCGUAAAGCGCGUGCAGGUGGCUUGGUAAGUUAGGCGUGAAAUCUCCCGGCUCAACUGGGAGAGGUCGUCUAAUACUACCGGGCUAGAGAACAGAAGAGGAAGAUGGAAUUCCCGGUGUAGUGGUGAAAUGCGUAGAUAUCGGGAGGAACACCAGUGGCGAAGGCGAUCUUCUGGUCUGUUUCUGACACUCAGACGCGACAGCUAGGGUAGUAAACGGG
rnacentral:rRNA from 3 species